GAUGAACGCUAGCGGCAGGCCUAACACAUGCAAGUCGAGGGGCAGCACAGAAACAGCAAUGUUUUGGUGGCGACCGGCGGACGGGUGCGUAACGCGUAUGCAACCUACCUUUAACAGGGGGAUAACGGAGAGAAAUUUCCACUAAUACCCCAUAACAUCGAUCAAGGCAUCUUGAUUGGUUGAAAACUCCGGUGGUUAAAGAUGGGCAUGCGUUGUAUUAGGUAUUUGGUGAGGUAAUGGCUCACCAAGACUACGAUACAUAGGGGGACUGAGAGGUUAGCCGCCCACACUGGUACUGAGACACAGACCAGACUCCUACGGGAGGCAGCAGUGAGGAAUAUUUGUCAAUGGGGGCAACCCUGAACCAGCCAUGCCGCGUGCAGGAAGACGGCUCUAUGAGUUGUAAACUGCUUUUAAACAGGGAUAAAGCACAGUAUGUAUACUGUGUUGAAGGUACUGUAAGAAUAAGGAUCGGCUAACUCCGUGCCAGCCGCCGCCGUAA
rnacentral:rRNA from 1 species